rfam:Triticum aestivum genome assembly, contig: Triticum_aestivum_CS42_TGACv1_scaffold_576925_7BL
ACGACCUUACUUGAACAGGAUCUGUUCUAUAGGCUCGUACCGCUGCAUCCUUUACCAAUAAGGAGGCAAGCACUUCAGUCUGGUUGAUGACCUCUGCCCUCUGGGCCAGAGCGUGAUUAACGUCCAGGAUUCCUCUGAUGGAGGCAAUCCGACGGCUGUAGAGGAUCGUUCCUGCCUGGCUCACACCUGUGCAGGGUGGCCCAGAGGAGGUUGUCUGACAGACU